rnacentral:rRNA from 1 species
GUUAGGAAUCUUGGACAAUGGGCGCAAGCCUGAUCCAGCCAUGCCGCGUGAGUGAUGAAGGCCUUAGGGUUGUAAAGCUCUUUCAGCGGGGAAGAUAAUGACGGUACCCGCAGAAGAAGCCCCGGCUAACUUCGUGCCAGCAGCCGCGGUAAUACGAAGGGGGCUAGCGUUGCUCGGAAUCACUGGGCGUAAAGCGCACGUAGGCGGAUCUUUAAGUCAGGGGUGAAAUCCUGGAGCUCAACUCCAGAACUGCCUUUGAUACUGGGGAUCUCGAGUCCGGAAGAGGUGAGUGGAACUCCGAGUGUAGAGGUGAAAUUCGUAGAUAUUCGGAAGAACACCAGUGGCGAAGGCGGCUCACUGGUCCGGUACUGACGCUGAGGUGCGAAAGCGUGGGGAGCAAACAGGAUUAGAAACCCGAGUAGUCC